rnacentral:rRNA from 1 species
UACGUAGGGGGCAAGCGUUGUCCAGAUUUACUGGGCGUAAAGAGCGUGUAGGCGGCCACGCAGGUCCGUUGUGAAAACUGGAGGCUCAACCUCCAGCUGUCGACGGAAACCGUAUGGCUAGAGUCCGGAAGAGGAGAGUGGAAUUCCUGGUGUAGCGGUGAAAUGCGCAGAUAUCAGGAAGAACACCAAUGGCGAAGGCAGCUCUCUGGGACGGUACUGACGCUGAGACGCGAAAGCGUGGGGAGCGAACAGG